GAUGAACGCUGGCGGCGUGCUUAAUACAUGCCAGUAGAACGCUGAAGGAGGAGCUUGCUCUUCUGGAUGAGUUGCGAACGGGUGAGUAACGCGUAGGUAACCUGCCUGGUAGCGGGGGAUAACUAUUGGAAACGAUAGCUAAUACCGCAUGACAACAGUUAUUGCAUGAUAACUGUUUAAAAGGUGCAACUGCUCCACUACCAGUUGGACCUGCGUUGUAUUAGCUAGUUGGUGAGGUAUCGGCUCACCAAGGCGACGAUACAUAGCAGACCUGCGAGGGGGAGCAGCCACACUGGGACGGUGACAGGGCCCAGACGGCUACGGGAGACAGCAGUAGGGAAUCUGCGGCAAUGAACGGGAGUCAUACCAAGCAAGGCCGCGUGAGUGUAGAAGAUUUUCGGAUCGUAAAGCACGGUUGUAAGAGAAUAACGAGUGUGAGAGUGGAAAGUUCACACUGUGACGGUAUCUUACAAGAAAGGAACGGCUAACUACGUG
rnacentral:rRNA from 1 species